rnacentral:rRNA from 1 species
CUGCUGCCUUCCGUAGGAGUUUGGUCCGUGUCUCAGUAUCAAUGUGGGGGGUUAACCUCUCAGUCCCCCUAUGUAUCGUUGUCUUGGUGAGCCGUUACCCCACCAACUAACUAAUACAACGCAUGCCCAUCCAUUACCACCGGAGUUUUCAACCCGAGAAGAUGCCUCCCUGGAUGUUAUGGGGUAUUAGUACCGAUUUCUCAGUGUUAUCCCCCUGUAAUGGGUAGGUUGCAUACGCGUUACGCACCCCGUGCGCCGGUCGCCGACAUAG